CUUUUCUGCCCACCCUCCUCGCUCUGAAGUCUGUUGGGUGGGAGCGGGGGAGAAGGCAGAAAAAAAAAAUUGCUGUUCAACUCUGCCAAAGGAGAAAGGAUUAAAGAAAUCGGAAGCAAGAUAAAGGCACUGUAGGUGAAUGCUGUAAAUUCUCCUUAGAACUAGUCCUGGCAUCUUCCUGGAUGGAUCCUUGCAUUAAUUAAUAGGUUUGGAUAGGUUCCAUUGAACCCUGUGGUCAACUGGUGAACUUAUUUGAGGCUGGAUGAUCUAGAAUGAUCACACAUGUCUGAUCAUUGAUUUCAUGUCGCCUGGAGUGAUGACAAUGGCACAUUUUGCUUCAUUAUUAGCAAGUUGGCACUGACUCUUCCAUGGAGUUUCCAUAGGGCUUGCAGAAGAACUGUAAAAAGGCGAGCCCGAGCACUCUUUUCAAAUACUUCCUUAACUCUUCAGGUGAUUUGUUCUUUUGGUAGAAACAAGGCUAAGCCCAAAUGAAAGGGCCGGAAUACUGGCUUCUUACAUCUUGGUGGUGGGAACU